rnacentral:rRNA from 1 species
GACGAACGCUGGCGGCGUGCUUAACACAUGCCAGUCGAACGGAAAGGCCCUGCUUUUGUGGGGUGCUCGAGUGGCGAACGGGUGAGUAACACGUGAGUAACCUGCCCUUGACUUUGGGAUAACUUCAGGAAACUGGGGCUAAUACCGGAUAGGAGCUCCUGCUGCAUGGUGGGGGUUGGAAAGUUUCGGCGGUUGGGGAUGGACUCGCGGCUUAUCAGCUUGUUGGUGGGGUAGUGGCUUACCAAGGCUUUGACGGGUAGCCGGCCUGAGAGGGUGACCGGCCACAUUGGGACUGAGAUACGGCCCAGACUCCUACGGGAGGUAGCAGUGGGGAAUAUUGCACAAUGGGCGGAAGCCUGAUGCAGCAACGCCGCGUGCGGGAUGACGGCCUUCGGGUUGUAAACCGCUUUCGCCUGUGACGAAGCGUGAGUGACGGUAAUGGGGAAAGAAGCACCGGCUAACUACGU